rnacentral:rRNA from 1 species
AACGAACGUUGGCGGCGUGGAUUAGGCAUGCAAGUCGAACGGGGUUGGGGGCAACUCCAACCUAGUGGCGAACGGGUGAGUAACGCGUGGGAAACCUGCCCUUGAGAUGGGGAUAACACUUCUAACGAGGUGCUAAUACCGAAUAAGACCACGAAGUCGCAUGGCUUCGCGGUCAAAGAUGGCCUCUGCUUGCAAGCUAUCACUUAAGGAUGGUCCCGCGUCCCAUUAGCUAGUUGGCGGGGUAACAGCCCACCAAGGCGACGAUGGGUAGCUGGUCUGAGAGGAUGGUCAGCCACACUGGGACUGAGAUACGGCCCAGACUCCUACGGGAGGCUG